AUUGAACGCUGGCGGCAGGCCUAACACAUGCAAGUCGGGCGGUAACAGGAAUCAGCUUGCUGAUUCGCUGACGAGCGGCGGACGGGUGAGUAAUGUCUGGGAAACUGCCUGAUGGAGGGGGAUAACUACUGGAAACGGUAGCUAAUACCGCAUAACGUCUUCGGACCAAAGUGGGGGACCUUCGGGCCUCAUGCCAUCAGAUGUGCCCAGAUGGGAUUAGCUAGUUGGUGGGGUAACGGCUCACCAAGGCGACGAUCCCUAGCUGGUCUGAGAGGAUGACCAGCCACACUGGAACUGAGACACGGUCCAGACUCCUACGGGAGGCAGCAGUGGGGAAUAUUGCACAAUGGGCGCAAGCCUGAUGCAGCCAUGCCGCGUGUAUGAAGAAGGCCUUCGGGUUGUAAAGUACUUUCAGCGGGGAGGAAGGUGUUGAGGUUAAUAACCACAGCAAUUGACGUUACCCGCAGAAGAAGCACCGGCUAACUCCGUGCCAGCAGCCGCCGUAAGAC
rnacentral:rRNA from 1 species